rnacentral:lncRNA from 1 species
UAUUACCCUGGAAAUGGUUCGACUCUUUCUUAUCAUCUACGGUCGCAUGUGCCUCAGGUAAUAGAUUUGUUCCAGGAGGUCUCAAUUCACUGUUUCUCAUCAACAGUUCAUUGUUCUGCUCAGCGAGCAAGAGACAAGAGAUCAGAUUAGCAUAAGUAGAGAAGCCCUUCUCACGAUACUGUUGUUGUAACAACACAUUGCUUGUGUGGAAGGUGGAAAAGGUUUUCUCAAGCAUAUCCUUAUCUGUUAUAUCCUCACCACAUAGUUUCAAUUUCGAAACUAUUUUAAAUAGGGCCGAGUUAUAUUCGUCCACAGACUUAAAGUCAUGGAUUCUGAGAUUCCUCCAAUCA